UGACAUCAGUGCUGUUUGUUUGUUUGUUUGUGUGUUUUCUGUUUGUAUCAGUUCGCUUCGUUUCCAGGACGUACGGAACAAGACUUCCGUACGCUAUACGCGGAAGACGUCUUUGUUUACGGCAUUCUUUACGGCUUUAUUUACGACAUUCUUUACGGCUUUAUUUACAAGUUGUAUUGUGCUACAUUAGCUUACUUCCGUUUGUGUUGUUAUUUUGGGAACUUUUGGGCCUUCGUUAUGGCUCCCAGGCAUUAAGUAUGUUUUUAUGUCCUAGAUCACAAUUCAAGGCCCGUGGGCCAAAUGCGGCCCGCCAAUUCAUUUAUAUGGCUCCGUAUUUAAUAAGUUCCAAGCAGUAGUUGUUCAAUAUUUGUAAUUUGAAUAAAUAUUCAAUCGCAGAAACAUUUAUUAAUACGUUAUGGUGCUGUUACAUCUAUUGUACAGCCUUCCAUGUAGAACAACAUUAUGGUGUGCUAACUGUGUUAGCGUAGCUAACUGACAUCGGUACGUAUGGCAGUAGGUGAGCUAUGACGCACUGCGAAAAUUGAAUUUACGUCGCGCCACAGGAACGGAACUCUGGUGAAUUCUCUGUAAGGUUUUCCCGUUCUGAACCUGAAGGUUGCUGCUACCAGGGAAUUCUGUUGCCUUCCCAGUC